UGCGGAAGGAUCAUUUA
rnacentral:rRNA from 1 species